UGAGUAACACGUGAGUAACCUGCCCUUAACUCUGGGAUAAGCCUGGGAAACUGGGUCUAAUACCGGAUAUGACUCCUCAUCGCAUGGUGGGGGGUGGAAAGCUUUAUUGUGGUUUUGGAUGGACUCGCGGCCUAUCAGCUUGUUGGUGAGGUAAUGGCUCACCAAGGCGACGACGGGUAGCCGGCCUGAGAGGGUGACCGGCCACACUGGGACUGAGACACGGCCCAGACUCCUACGGGAGGCAGCAGUGGGGAAUAUUGCACAAUGGGCGCAAGCCUGAUGCAGCGACGCCGCGUGAGGGAUGACGGCCUUCGGGUUGUAAACCUCUUUCAGUAGGGAAGAAGCGAAAGUGACGGUACCUGCAGAAGAAGCGCCGGCUAACUACGUGCCAGCAGCCGCGGUAAUACGUAGGGCGCAAGCGUUAUCCGGAAUUAUUGGGCGUAAAGAGCUCGUAGGCGGUUUGUCGCGUCUGCCGUGAAAGUCCGGGGCUCAACUCCGGAUCUGCGGUGGGUACGGGCAGACUAGAGUGAUGUAGGGGAGACUGGAAUUCCUGGUGUAGCGGUGAAAUGCGCAGAUAUCAGGAGGAACACCGAUGGCGAAGGCAGGUCUCUGGGCAUUAACUGACGCUGAGGAGCGAAAGCAUGGGGAGCGAACAGGAUUAGAUACCCUGGUAGUCCAUGCCGUAAACGUUGGGCACUAGGUGUGGGGGACAUUCCACGUUUUCCGCGCCGUAGCUAACGCAUUAAGUGCCCCGCCUGGGGAGUACGGCCGCAAGGCUAAAACUCAAAGGAAUUGACGGG
rnacentral:rRNA from 1 species